CCCAGGAGGAAAAGACAGCCACAAAGAAGGAGAUUGGGAGCUUCUGACAUGCUUUGAGGGAGAAGCAGCCAGCAACCAUGCAGGUGGUAGCAGCACCCAGUGAUUGCGUCUUAAGGCAAGCUGAAAAGGAACAAACUUGUGUGUGUCUUUUGUCCGAGGAUUCAAGAGAAGUGUGUGGGGCAUGGUAGCAAAGCCCACUUCCUGGAUCAAAGAAAAGCAAGAGCAAGGGCCAACACUGCCAUUGCCUCUCAUUAAAGCAAUCAAGCUACAUGUUUCUCGAGGGGACUGAUUCAAAUUUUCAGAAUCUAUCAUGCUCCUCCAGAGAGGGUAUAAAGGACAGCACGAGACACUUCAAGAAGUCUCAGAGGAAGAGAAUCCUGCUUCUUCACAAAAGGUGCAAUGUGUGCAUUCCUCCAUGAAGAGUAAAACUUCGUAUGUGAAAAAUGUUUGUUGAGUUUAAAAGAUAAAAUCUCAGCUAUCAUGAAAGGAUAUACAUCUAAAUCACUCUAUUGAAGAAAUGACAUAAACCUUCCAGUGUUAUGUAUGUUUUUAAAACUUUCGGCUAACCACUAAGGGCCAACUUCCUAUGUAAUACAAAAUGAAAGAGUAAAAUGGCAUCACAAAACAGAAAAAGAAGGGAAGAACACAAAUUCAGAGACGACACCUGAAAACAGCAUCCCAGUUCAGGUAUUUUCCUUGUUUGGAAUCAGAAUGCCGAUCUAAAUGUUCAACUGUUUCAGGAUCCUGAAUCAGGCGCUUAAAUUUAUCCACUUCUUUCUGAAAAUGAAAAAUACAAUAAUAAUAAUAAUAAUAAUAAUAAUAAUAAUAAUAACAUACUAUGUUACCUAUCACACAUUUGUUUCAAGAAAAAAUAUUUCAAAUAACAUAUUACCCUUCGUUCUGUAGCUCUGUCAUGUUCUAACUGCCGGCAGCAAAUGAGCAGAUCAUUAAGUGCUAGACUCAUGGUUUAAGAUUUCAGAACAUGCAUCCUCACCUGUAAAAAGAAAGAAAUAUAUAAUUUCAUUUUUUUUUUUUGUCCUGAGGACUCGCUCAGUGCCUUAAGCAUACUAAACAUGUGAUGUGCCAGUAAGCUAUACUUUAGACCUGUAUGUAAUUAUUUUAGACAUUAGCUAUACAUUUAAACCUAACUGUACAUCCAGAGGCAUACUGUGAGCAAAGACACAAUACUUUUUCUUACUAUUCCUAUAGGACAUUUUCUUAAAAUAUAUCAAAAUUAGGCUCUAAUUCUCAAAUGUGUGCUUUGCCUAGCAUGAUAAUGUAUUAUUUUGAAUAAAAUCAAACAGUUCAGUAUUAUCUCUA